GAGGUUCUAACCACCCACCCUACCUCCUGUGCCUUCCUGCCCCCAGCCCUGGUCCACAAACCUGGAGGAACUCCAAAAACAAAGUGGCCUUCAACAUGUAGACUCAUCGACCUUCAAAUUCCAACCUGGAGCCACUGAGGAACCAGGGGUAGCAAAAACUUGAUAGUUGCACUGGAACUUGUUUUGAAGUUUUUAUGAUGAAAUUUUAGAUUCUCAUCACAGAGAACUGAAGAUUUCAAAAGCGAG